rnacentral:rRNA from 1 species
AAUGUUGAAAAAUUAGCGGAUGACUUGUGGCUGGGGGUGAAAGGCCAAUCAAACCGGGAGAUAGCUGGUUCUCCCCGAAAGCUAUUUAGGUAGCGCCUCGUGAAUUCAUCUCCGGGGGUAGAGCACUGUUUCGGCAAGGGGGUCAUCCCGACUUACCAACCCGAUGCAAACUGCGAAUACCGGAGAAUGUUAUCACGGGAGACACACGGCGGGUGCUAACGUCCGUCGUGAAGAGGGAAACAACCCAGACCGCCAGCUAAGGUCCCAAAGUCAUGGUUAAGUGGGAAACGAUGUGGGAAGGCCCAGACAGCCAGGAUGUUGGCUUAGAAGCAGCCAUCAUUUAAAGAAAGCGUAAUAGCUCACUGGUCGAGUCGGCCUGCGCGGAAGAUGUAACGGGGCUAAACCAUGCAC